AUUGAACGCUGGCGGCAUGCCUUACACAUGCAAGUCGAACGGUAACGGGCCUUCGGGUGCCGACGAGUGGCGAACGGGUGAGUAACACAUCGGAACGUGCCCGAUCGUGGGGGAUAACGAGGCGAAAGCUUUGCUAAUACCGCAUACGAUCUACGGAUGAAAGCAGGGGACCGCAAGGCCUUGCGCGGACGGAGCGGCCGAUGGCAGAUUAGGUAGUUGGUGGGAUAAAAGCUUACCAAGCCGACGAUCUGUAGCUGGUCUGAGAGGAUGAUCAGCCACACUGGGACUGAGACACGGCCCAGACUCCUACGGGAGGCAGCAGUGGGGAAUUUUGGACAAUGGGCGCAAGCCUGAUCCAGCCAUGCCGCGUGCAGGAUGAAGGCCUUCGGGUUGUAAACUGCUUUUGUACGGAACGAAAAGCCUUCUUUUAAUACAGGAGGGUCAUGACGGUACCGUAAGAAUAAGCACCGGCUAACUACGUG
rnacentral:rRNA from 1 species